rnacentral:rRNA from 1 species
UACGAAGGGGGCUAGCGUUGCUCGGAAUUACUGGGCGUAAAGCGCACGUAGGCGGCUUUCUAAGUCGGGGGUGAAAUCCUGGAGCUCAACUCCAGAACUGCCUUCGAUACUGGAGAGCUCGAGUCCGGGAGAGGUGAGUGGAACUGCGAAGUGUAGAGGUGAAAUUCGGUAGAAUUAUUCGCAAGAACACCAGUCGGCGA